AACGCUAGCUACAGGCUUAACACAUGCAAGUCGCGGGGCAGCAUGAAUUUAGCUUGCUAAAUUUGAUGGCGACCGGCGCACGGGUGAGUAACGCGUAUCCAACCUUCCCCUGUCCACGGGAUAGCCCGUCGAAAGGCGGAUUAAUACCGUAUGAGGUCACACGAUGGCAUCAGACUGUGACGAAAGGUUUGGCGGACAGGGAUGGGGAUGCGUCCGAUUAGGUAGUAGGCGGGGUAACGGCCCACCUAGCCGACGAUCUUUAGGGGUUCUGAGAGGAAGGUCCCCCACACUGGUACUGAGACACGGACCAGACUCCUACGGGAGGCAGCAGUGAGGAAUAUUGGUCAAUGGGCGGAAGCCUGAACCAGCCAAGUAGCGUGAAGGAUUACAGCCCUACGGGUUUUAAACUUCUUUUAUAUAAGAGUAAUGUGCACUACGUGUAGUGUAUUGCAAGUAUUAUAUGAAUAAGCAUCGGCUAACUCCGUGCCAGCAGCCGCGGUAAUACGGAGGAUGCGAGCGUUAUCCGGAUUUAUUGGGUUUAAAGGGAGCGUAGGCGGGAUAUUAAGUCAGUCGUCAAAGCCUGUGGCUCAACCACAGCCCGCGAUUGAUACUGGUAACCUUGAGUGCGGAUGAGGUGGAUGGAAUUCGUGGUGUAGCGGUGAAAUGCUUAGAUAUCACGAAGAACUCCGAUUG
rnacentral:rRNA from 1 species